rnacentral:rRNA from 1 species
GACGAACGCUGGCGGCGUGCCUAAUACAUGCAAGUCGAACGCAGGGGGGACGGGGGAGUAACACGUGGGUAACCUCCCAUCAGAGGGGAUAACACUUGGAAACAGGUGCUAAACCCAUAUGGAUGGAGGGACCCGCGGGGCAUUAGCUAGUUGGUGGGGUAACGGCCCACCAAGGCCACGAUGCAUAGCCGGCCUGAGAGGAUGAUCGGCCACACUGGGACUGAGACACGGCCCAGACUCCUACGGGAGGCAGCAGUAGGGAAUCUUCGGCAAUGGACGAAAGUCUGACCGAGCAACGCCGCGUGAGUGAAGAAGGUUUUCGGGUCGUAAAACUCUGUUGUUAGAGAGGCGGUAUCUACACAGAAAGCCACGGCUAACUACGUGCCAGCCGCCGCGGUAAUUC